AGCUCUCAGAGCACUAUCAGCAGUUGUAGUGGUUUGUGCAGUGGGGCGUGGAGAAGGCGCUCUUGUCUGAAGCUAGGCCAAUCUGAGUGUUUCUGGUUAUGGUGGUGAUGGAUCUGUGGAGAUCAGCAAAGCUUUGAUGGACAAGCUUUGACUACCUGGAACUUGCUGUGCUUCAAGUGUACCAGGAGAAGGCAUUAAGUGCCUCACAGUGUGAUGAGAAGUGCCACCGACAUCAAGUUUUCUGCACAUCUGCAAGACAUCCUGCCUGUGCCUCUGGAGAUCAAAAUCGGAACCAGGAUCAGAAAUAGCCAAUGGAUGAGGUGAUGAGCAAGAGAACAAAGAGGAUUACUGUAGUUCAAAGGAGGAACACACAAAACUUCGGAACCAUGCCUCCUACCACAGUCCUUGCUGUUGGGAAAGACCUAUGGAAGAAGGAAUGAGAAAUAUAAAGGAAAAGAAGAAAAACCUGAAGGGCAGAAAUGAUGAAAGGAAGGCUUGAGUGUCUCAGCAGAGUGGCCACGGGAGUAAGAGACCUUUAAGAACGGCUUAGAAAUAAAUAGAUAAACACUGGCUAGAAAAUAUGGCCAAGGAAAGAAUUUUGUCCAGCUGUUCUCCCUACUGCUGGCUGAUUUAAGGCUGCUUUCAAAGUCUUGCAGGAUGUAGUUGGUUAUAAUUUCUUUUUAGAAAAUGUAAUUGAAUUUUGGUUACUUACAGUGUUGUAGCCUAACAUGAAUAAAACCUGUUAGUAAAUAUAUUUCCUUCCUAACCUUUUAAUGAGCCUUUGUUCUGUGGUCUGUACUUCCUUUUGUAAGCUCUUCAGUGAAGAAAUUCAGAUACCUUAUACUCAAUUUCUUUCCUACUAUUUUUUUUGGCAAUUAAUUGCUUGAAAAGUCUGUUCUGGUUGAAUUUAUUCAUGUUUCAACACUUUUCUUCAUUAGAACCAUGCUUGUUAAUGAAGCUUUUAUUUUAAGGCAUGCAUUGUUUUCUAACCUUAAUAUGCAGGUCAGCAAGUUGGAUCUAUUAAUUUUCAUACCCUUUUUUUGUGCAGUCUCUAUUCAGGAGGCAAGUUGUAGCUGUUUAGUUCUUAAAAUGUAAGUCUUCACCCAAACAAAGGAACCAUUCAGAACAUGAGAAGAUUUGUAUCUUUAUCUCUGAUUCUGUACUGCAUGAAGAGUAAAA